rnacentral:rRNA from 1 species
AUUGAACGCUGGCGGCAGGCUUAACACAUGCAAGUCGAGCGAGCGGCGGACGGGUGAGUAAUGUCUGGGAAACUGCCUGAUGGAGGGGGAUAACUACUGGAAACGGUAGCUAAUACCGAAUACCAUCAGAUGUGCCCAGAUGGGAUUAGCUAGUCGGGGGGGUAAUGGCUCACCUGGGCGACGAUCCGUAUCUGGUCUGAGAGGAUGACCAGCCACACUGAAACUGAGACAGAGUACACACUACUACCGGAGGCAGAAGUGGGGGAUUUUGAACAUGGGGCUCAUGCCUUAUGUAGUCAUGCCGCGUGUGUGAAGAAGGUUCUCGGGUUGGAAUGCCCCUCCAGCGAGGAGGCGUUACUCGCAGAAGAAGCACCGGCUAACUCCGUGCCAGCAGCCGCGGUAAUAC